rnacentral:rRNA from 1 species
CCUACGGGGGGCAGCAGUGGGGAAUAUUGGACAAUGGGCGAAAGCCUGAUCCAGCCAUGCCGCGUGUGUGAAGAAGGCCUUCGGGUUGUAAAGCACUUUCAGUGGUGAAGAAAGCCUUGGGGCUAAUACCCUCGAGGAAGGACAUCACCCACAGAAGAAGCACCGGCUAACUCCGUGCCAGCAGCCGCGGUAAUACGGAGGGGUGCGAGCGUUAAUCGGAAUUACUGGGCGUAAAGCGCGCGUAGGCGGUCUGAUAAGCCGGUUGUGAAAGCCCCGGGCUCAACCUGGGAACGGCAUCCGGAACUGUCAGGCUAGAGUGCAGGAGAGGAAGGUAGAAUUCCCGGUGUAGCGGUGAAAUGCGUAGAGAUCGGGAGGAAUACCAGUGGCGAAGGCGGCCUUCUGGACUGACACUGACGCUGAGGUGCGAAAGCGUGGGUAGCAAACAGGAUUAGAUACCCGUGUAGUC